CCUUGUUUCAGUCCUACUACUGCUUGUUUUUCAAAUUGACUAUUUGCUGCAGGAUUUUUUUUUUUCUAAUUUACCAGGCAGCUGGAGCUUAUUAGACACGAUUUUCUGCUGUAGUAUUGAUAACAGCACACCUGUAAACACCCUCUAUAACUAGCAACUUUAGGCACUUGUGGAAUCCGCCUGCCACAGCCUAUGUGGCAAGGAUGCUGGGUAACCACGGCAUAGCAGCAUAGGUCCAAACUUUCUUAAGCACAUUUUUUUCCCUGCUUCCUAAUCUCUCCUGACAUAAUGUUAAAAAUUAUUACUUAGCUGCAUAAAGAGAACUAUCUGUCAAUUAUUUACCUGCUUACAUGUGGGACCAGGUAGCCAGAAGCUGUUCUAGCAAACCAAGGCCCAGUUUCCAAGAAAGCAGAAAACCAACUGCAGCCACCUGACUCAACUCUCUAUCUAGGUCUCUAUGGGGAGGAUGGCAGUUCUGAGCUGGUUGUCUGGAUGGCUGUUUACUGACACCCUGAAUCCAGGCUGGGAGGCGAGUCCCUGGAGAUUUGCUAGAUCAGAGGGAAACAGGAGACCCAUCUGCAACCUGCUUAUUAGCGAGUCAUCAGCAGAUUAAUUUGUACAAAGAGAUCACAGUAAUGGGCUGAGGCCAGCUGAGUGCCUAUAUGGUCCUGAAAGCACUGAUGCCACAGAGAUGGGAAAGACCAGAUAAAGUGACUUCAAGGGAGGGCACCUUAAAACAGAAAGAAAAAGAAGGGUGGGAUUGUUGGGUGAGUCACUCCAGAAUACUUGGCGUUGAUAUCAAAUCAAUGGGUUCAGCCUGGUCAUGUGGUUUCUUUUCUUUCUGGGUACGGAUCUCUAUAAGCUGGAGAAGCUGAUGGGAGUAUGGUAUUUGCAACCACUUUAUUUUCUCUGGGAUAAAAAUACUCUGCAAACUUUGGUUUUAUUUUCCAUUCGCAACAGCUGAGCCCUAGGCUGGAGGGAAUGAAUGUGUUAUCCCACUGUGAAAACAUCUAAACAGGUGGAAAGGACAAAGGAGGAUAGAAAGGCAGGGUGGAGACAGUCUGGUUUUAGACAAAAAUCCUGUUUCCUUUCUGAAAACAGAGCAAGUCUGGGUCCUGUAGGUUACUUUAAACUAAAAGCUGAAAUUCAAUUCUAAUUUCUUUGCUUACAUGAAAGAAGCUUGAAUUGGGAGACAUCAGGAAGAAAAUAGUUGGGAAGAAACUGUCAGAGAAAAAAUUAUGGGCAAUGUGCUGCUUUUUCAGUCAGGCCCAACCAUUCUGCUAAAUAACUUCAUUCUUCACCUGUAACUUCCAUUAUGCCAGCUGGAGUCUUCCAAACAGCUUAAGUUAAGUGUUUCUGUUCUCAGCUCUUUAUGAAAAUAAUCCCAGUUCUGAGAUAGCUCUGAUGAAGCACCUC